GGAUUGUGGCUCAGUGGUAGAGUGCCCAACUAGCACGGGCGGGACCCGGGUUCAAUCCUCAGCACCA
rnacentral:tRNA from 1 species